GUCUCCAUAGCUCAGUGGUUUAGAGCGGCCGCCUGCAGCUCGCUGGCACAGCGGCAGGUCACGUGUUCAAAUCACGUUGGGGACU
rnacentral:tRNA from 1 species